UACGAAGGGGGCUAGCGUUGCUCGGAAUUACUGGGCGUAAAGGGCGCGUAGGCGGCUCUGUUAGUCAGGCGUGAAAUUCCUGGGCUCAACCUGGGGACUGCGCUUGAUACUGCAGGGCUUGAGGCCGAGAGAGGGUGGUGGAAUUCCCAGUGUAGAGGUGAAAUUCGUAGAUAUUGGGAAGAACACCGGUGGCGAAGGCGACCACCUGGCUCGGUUCUGACGCUGAGGCGCGACAGCGUGGGGAGCAAAC
rnacentral:rRNA from 1 species